UGUGGCUUCCUGGCAGCAAUUGCCCUGGGCUUCCCUGAGUUGCAUCCAUUUCUGCAAAGUGGGGAUUUGAACAACAUGGAUCUCUCUCAGUAGGACCCAGGAGGAGGAAAUGGGAUGGUCGUCUUGUGCAGUAACCGAGCCCUGGCUACGGAGCUGAACCACAGUCUCCGUUGCACAGCUGGCAGAGCACCAUGGCUCUGCCCCAGAGGCCCUUGAAGACACUGACAGAUCACUCCCCCACCUUCCAUCACCAUCUUGUUGGCGGUUGCAGCCUCAGGGAGGACAUGCCACCCUGGACCACACUUGAGCUGCCUCCUGAGCCUGACUGAAUUAAUCUCUGCUUACCAGUGAAGAGGUGGAAGGCUGCAGGAAGCCAACGGUUUCCUCUGCUCCAAGCCAGGAAGGCAAGCCAUUCUUCCUUUCCAUCCAUCCUGACAUAAUUGUAAUAGGUACACCAUGACUCACAGGUCUCACAUGUCUCACAUCCAAGAAGUCUUUGGGCCCAUUUCUGCCUCCAAAGCUGAUGUUUCCAGUGAUAAGAACCUAAUAAGUCUUAGCUGUUUGGUUAUGCUUUAACCUUGGCCAGAUGAGAUAAUGGGAGAUGGUGGGGACAGGACCGGGGAAACCCACACUCUUCUCUCUGCCUAAAGGGACAGAGGAGGAAGACCCUACUGAGAAAGCCUUUCUUGUCUCAGUGACAAGGCAGCAAAUUUAGCGACAAGAGCAUGAGUUCGUUAUGAGGCACUUGAAAUUCAGAUCUGGCUAC
rnacentral:lncRNA from 12 species